rnacentral:rRNA from 1 species
UGGGGAAUAUUGGACAAUGGGCGCAAGCCUGAUCCAGCAAUGCCGCGUGAGUGAUGAAGGCCUUAGGGUUGUAAAGCUCUUUCGCACGCGAAGAUAAUGACGGUAGCGGGAGAAGAAGCCCCGGCUAACUCCGUGCCAGCAGCCGCGGUAAUACGGAGGGGGCUAGCGUUGUUCGGAAUUACUGGGCGUAAAGCGUACGUAGGCGGAUGCGCAAGUUGGGGGUGAAAUCCCGGGGCUUAACCUCGGAAUUGCCCUCAAAACUGCACGUCUUGAGACCGAGAGAGGUAAGGGGAAUUCCUAGUGUAGAGGUGAAAUUCGUAGAUAUUAGGAAGAACACCAGUGGCGAAGGCGCCUUACUGGCUCGGUACUGACGCUGAGGUACGAAAGCGUGGGGAGCAAACA